CAACAGAAAAUUAAAAGCACAAUAAAACUUCAAACAUUAAAAACUCCCCUAAAAAUCUCAAGGGCUCCAACCCUGGCAAGAGUGAUCACCCUCGUUAAGAUACCCUGCCCUAGAUGCUGAUAAAUCUAAACAGUUUCUUAUAAUGGCCCCAGGAAGUUUCCUGCUAAUUUUGCUAUGUAGCCUAGUUGACUUCUUGAAUAUGGAGCUGUAGCUGGAUUAAGAACAUUGACCGCCCAGCUGUUGAUCUGGGCAAAUCUCAGAGCAUAAUAUACCUAUGAUAACUACACUCCCAGUUAAGUUUCCAAGUACCAUUCAAAGUGCUGUUUGUUUCUCUCUAAAGCCAUAAACUUUCAGCAUCCGCUAUGUCUCAGAAAGCAGACCUCAACCGUGCGAGGCCACCUUGCUUAUUCAGAUUAUCUAGGGGUUAUUCAAGCCCCUCCCACAAUCUAGUGCAUUUGGCUGGGCCUAUCAUGCUACACUGUUACAUCCACUAGGGGAAAUGCAACUAUAUCCCUCAAAGGACAAACUGUGAUUGGAGCACGCUUGGAGAUUGUGUAGGAAAGGCCUUGCAGAAGGUCUCUAGUCUAAAAAGGAUCUCAAUUCCAAGAAUCCUCAUCAAAAGUCAUACAUUUGCAUACCAGUUAAUAAAUAACCCAGAAGAUUGAUGCACUGGUGAUAUUUGGAACUGGCUCUAUCAUCAC